rnacentral:rRNA from 1 species
UAGGGAAUCUCCACAAUGGACGAAAGUCUGAUGGAGCAACGCCGCGUGAGUGAAGAAGGGUUUCGGCUACGUAAAACUCUGUUGUUAAAGAAGAACAUAUCUGAGAGUAACUGUUCAGGUAUUGACGGUAUUUAACCAGAAAGCCACGGCUAACUACGUGCCAC